rnacentral:rRNA from 1 species
AGCGAACGCUGGCGGCGUACUUAACACAUGCAAGUCGAACGAGGAGCCUCGGUGUAGCAAUACAUUGGAGCUUCGAGUGGCGCACGGGUGAGUAACACGUGGGCAACCUGCCCUUGAGACCGGGAUACCCCCUCGAAAGGGGGACGUAAUACUGGAUACGCUCCUCGGGUCGCGAGACCUAGGGAGGAAGGUAGGCGCAAGCUGCCGCUCUUGGAGGGGCGUCGCGGCCAUCAGCUAGUUGGUGAGGUCACGGCUCACCAAGGCGAUGACGGGUAGCUGGUCUGAGAGGAC